AGCUUUGCACAGUGGCAGUAUCGUAGCCAGUGAAGUUUAUCCAAGGUGCGAUUAUUGCUCAUUGAAAAGAACA
rnacentral:snRNA from 1 species